CGGUAAUACGUAGGUGGCAAGCGUUGUCCGGGAUUUAUUGGGCGUAAAGCGAGCGCAGGCGGUUUUUUAAGUCUGAUGUGAAAGCCUUUCGGCUUAACCGGAGAAGUGCAUCGGAAACUGGGAGACUUGAGUGCAGAAGAGGACAGUGGAACUCCAUGUGUAGCGGUGGAAUGCGUAGAUAUAUGGAAGAACACCAGUGGCGAAGGCGGCUGUCUAGUCUGUAACUGACGCUGAGGCUCGAAAGCAUGGGUAGCGAACAGGAUUAGAUACCCUGGUAGUCCAUGCCGUAAACGAUGAGUGCUAAGUGUUGGAGGGUUUCCGCCCUUCAGUGCUGCAGCUAACGCAUUAAGCACUCCGCCUGGGGAGUACGACCGCAAGGUUGAAACUCAAAGGAAUUGACGGGGGCCCGCACAAGCGGUGGAGCAUGUGGUUUAAUUCGAAGCUACGCGAAGAACCUUACCAGGUCUUGACAUCUUCUGCCAAUCUUAGAGAUAAGACGUUCCCUUCGGGGACAGAAUGACAGGUGGUGCAUGGUUGUCGUCAGCUCGUGUCGUGAGAUGUUGGGUUAAGUCCCGCAACGAGCGCAACCCUUAUUAUCAGUUGCCAGCAUUCAGUUGGGCACUCUGGUGAGACUGCCGGUGACAAACCGGAGGAAGGUGGGGAUGACGUCAAAUCAUCAUGCCCCUUAUGACCUGGGCUACACACGUGCUACAAUGGACGGUACAACGAGUCGCGAAGUCGUGAGGCUAAGCUAAUCUCUUAAAGCCGUUCUCAGUUCGGAUUGUAGGCUGCAACUCGCCUACAUGAAGUUGGAAUCGCUAGUAAUCGCGGAUCAGCAUGCCGCGGUGAAUACGUUCCCGGGCCUUGUACACACCGCCCGUCACACCAUGAGAGUUUGUAACACCCAAAGCCGGUGAGAUAACC
rnacentral:rRNA from 2 species